rnacentral:rRNA from 1 species
GAUGAACGCUGGCGGCGUGCCUAAUACAUGCAAGUCGAGCGAACAGACGAGGAGCUUGCUCCUCUGACGUUAGCGGCGGACGGGUGAGUAACACGUGGAUAACCUACCUAUAAGACUGGGUUAACUUCGGGAAACCGGAGCUAAUACCGGAUAACAUGUUGAACCGCAUGGUUUAACAGUGAAAGACGGUCUUGCUGUCACUUAUAGAUGGAUCCGCGCCGCAUUAGCUAGUUGGUAAGGUAACGGCUUACCAAGGCAACGAUGCGUAGCCGACCUGAGAGGGUGAUCGGCCACACUGGAACUGAGACACGGUCCAGACUCCUACGGGAGGCAGCAGUAGGGAAUCUUCCGCAAUGGGCGAAAGCCUGACGGAGCAACGCCGCGUGAGUGAAGAAGGUCUUCGGAUCGUAAAACUCUGUUAUUAGGGAAGAACAAAUGUGUAAGUAACUAUGCACGUCUUGACGGUACCUAAUCAGAAAGCCACGGCUAACUACGUG